GCAACCGCAAAAUCGGUUGUCGGGAUUGGCGUCCCGGAUGUUUACGGAGCGAUAUGAGACGCGCCCUCGUCUUUUUU
rnacentral:sRNA from 1 species